rnacentral:rRNA from 1 species
AACGCGAAGAACCUUACCUGGGCUCGAAAUGUUAUGGACCGGGGUAGAAAUAUCCCUUCCCAGCAAUGGGCCGUAAUAUAGGUGCUGCAUGGCUGUCGUCAGCUCGUGUCGUGAGAUGUUGGGUUAAGUCCCGCAACGAGCGCAACCCUUAUCUUCAGUUGCUACCAUUUAGUUGAGCACUCUGACGAAACCGCCUCGGAUAACGGGGAGGAAGGUGGGGAUGACGUCAAGUCCUCAUGGCCUUUAUGUCCAGGGCUACACACGUGCUACAAUGGCCGGUACAAACCGUCGCAAACCCGUGAGGGGGAGCUAAUCGGAAAAAGCCGGCCUCAGUUCGGAUCGCAGUCUGCAACUCGACUGCGUGAAGCUGGAAUCGCUAGUAAUCGCGGAUCAGAAUGCCGCGGUGAAUACGUUCCCGGGCCUUGUACACACCGCGCAUA